GGCACCAUCUCGAGCAGCCAUGAGGCUUAGCAGCAAUAUAUUAUUACUCGCCAUUGUACUUGCCAUGUUACCAUCAGAGAUUUGUACUUCUAGGGUCGUGCCUAUGGAGGAUGGCCUCUUCACCACAGAUUACUCACCAUCAACAUGCUCACGGAUCAUUCGCUUUGGCACAUGUGACAACGAUGAGUGCCGUGACGACUGCAACAUGAAGCUCAACGGCAUUGGCAAGUGUGUUGAUAAGGGUUGCCAAUGCUCAUUUCACUGUGGCACUCCUUCUCCCAUCAAGACAACGUGCAAGUAGCUUAUGUUAAAUUAUAUAAAUGGACCUAGUAUGUAUCUAACAUAAUUUCUCAAUAAUUCUCAGUUGCUCAUUGUAGUGUAAUUUGAGCGUAUUACUCUUGUAUUCUUAAUUUUGGGAGAGGUGGACAUGAUACAAAGUUAUAAGGUGAAAAA